rnacentral:tRNA from 1 species
GCCCGGUGGUCUAAUGGUAAGACACCGUACCGGCAUUCGGGUUCGAGUCCCGGCUGGAGCA